CUGUGUUGAGCCACAAUACAGAAGUCGGUCCAGGGCACACUACCUUUCUGGCCAACAUUGAGGGAGUUAAAGACAUCGAAAGUGGUCUAACAGGCAUUCCCCUUUUCAGUGAAUUGUAUGAACCAGCCUUGGUUACCUUUAAGGGAACUGCAUAUCGAGCAGGCAUGACUGUAUUCCUGUCUUAUGACCCAGAUGGGGAGCCCCAAUUUGGUCUCAUAAAGUCCAUUUUAGUACUAGACCAAACAUCACACACACCAACAAUAAAACUUGUUGUACAGAAGUGGGAAACACAAUGGUUUGAUAGGCAUUUCUUUGCAUACAGUGUGAUUCCCACUCAAGUUUUGGCAGCUGUUGAUGUGAGAGAGCUGCUUGAUCACCAUCCCCUACAUGCAGUGAAGUCAUUCAGCGAGACUGAUGACAGUUUAUACAUUUCACUGCGCUAUAGACUUUUUUAGAAAAUCAGCUUACUGCCACCAGGUGUGUGUACAGUAGGUAUGACACUUUGUAAAUAGCAUUUUGACUCGUCAAGUCCAUUUUUUCCUGCCAUAUUUGUUUAGUGGUUAGCUAUAAAUGCUGCUUAAAAGGUGCCUUUGGACUACAGGGAUGAUCAUGCGAUGGAGUACUGGGAUGUUUCUGUAAAUACUGGGAUGGAUGUGAUAAAUUGUACAGUAAGUAUUUUUUGUUUAAUCUGUCUACAUAUCGUUGCUGUUGGGCAGAAACCUUGUGUCUCCAUAUUUAAACUAUGUUUUUUAUAUUUGUAAAUGUACUAAUUCGUCAUAGUGUUGUACAAAAGUAGUUCAAAUAGAUCUACAAGCUCCCAAUGUCAAGAGCUUGUCGAUUGGCUAUUUCACAAUUUUUAAAUGUUAAAAAUUAUAAAAGGAACAAUUUUGGACAUACACGGUUUCCACCCGACGGUGACGAUGUACAGUAGUAGUCACUGUCAGUUAAGAAGUUACAUGUUUGUUUUAUAUCUUUUUCAAUUUGCCGCAGAUCUGCAUGGUCCAAACUUGUCGCAUUUUUCAUUCACUCGGGUGAAGGGUUUCUGAGUGGUUUUGUGUCUGCUUAGGGGUCAAUAUAAACCAUACUUUACACAGGUCUCUGAAUUUAUCAAAACUUUGGCGUGGUGCAUAUCUCUCACACCAUGCAUACUGUGUGCAGUCUUCUGAGUCCGCUGGUGUGAUUGAACCUGCUGUGCCACCUACAAGUCCUGAUGUCCAACCAACUGCCACAACUCCACCCUCCAUGGAGGACCAAACGGCACCUGUCGUACCAGCGAUGAUACCUCAAACACUACAUAUAAUUCCACAAUUUGAUAUCCGCCAGAUUCUCACAGGCUCAACUGAAGGCAAGCUGAUCCUGGGGAGCCUUGAUGAGGAUGUGAUCAUCCCUUCGCAAAGAAAGUGCCUUGUCCGUAUUUUGGUGUCUCACCUCAUGGAGAAGUUUGGAGAGAGUCCUACCAGUGAGACAAAAAAGGCCUUGGCUGCAGCUUUGAUUCAUGGGUUUCCCUCCUUGAAGGACGAGUCGGACUCAAGCAGUGGUUUCG